GUGGGGUUGUGGCUCAGUGGUAGAGCACUUGCCUAGCACAUGUGAGGCACUGGGUUUGAUCCUCAGCACCACA
rnacentral:tRNA from 1 species